rnacentral:rRNA from 1 species
AACGAACGCUGGCGGCAGGCUUAACACAUGCAAGUCGAGCGCCCCGCAAGGGGAGCGGCAGACGGGUGAGUAACGCGUGGGAAUCUACCCAUCUCUACGGAAUAACGCAUGGAAACGUGUGCUAAUACCGUAUACGUCCUUCGGGAGAAAGAUUUAUCGGAGAUGGAUGAGCCCGCGUUGGAUUAGCUAGUUGGUGGGGUAAAGGCCUACCAAGGCGACGAUCCAUAGCUGGUCUGAGAGGAUGAUCAGCCACACUGGGACUGAGACACGGCCCAGACUCCUACGGGAGGCAGCAGUGGGGAAUAUUGGACAAUGGGCGCAAGCCUGAUCCAGCCAUGCCGCGUGAGUGAUGAAGGCCCUAGGGUUGUAAAGCUCUUUCACCGGUGAAGAUAAUGACUGUACCGGAAGAAUAAGCCCCGGCUAACUUCGUGCCAGCAGCCGCAGUAAAAC